CCUACGGGAGGCUGCAGUGGGGAAUAUUGGUCAAUGGAGGCAACUCUGACCCAGCAACGCCGCGUGAGUGAUGAAGGUCUUCGGUAUGGAAAGCUCUGUUAGUCGGGAUGAACACAAUGACGGUACCCCAAUAACAAGCCACGGCUAACUACGUGCCAGCAGCAGCUGUAAUACGUAAGUGGCAAGCGUUAUGCGGAAUUACUCGGUGUAAGGGGAGCGUAGGUGGGUUUGUAAGUUUGAGGUGAAAUUGCGGGGCUCAACCUCGGAGUGACCGCUAAAACUAGUAGGCUGGAGUGCAGGAGAGGUAAGUGGAAUUCGUAGUGUAGCGGUGGAAUGCGUAGAUAUUAGGAGGAACACCAGGGGCGAAGGCGACUUACUGGACUGUAACUGACACUGAGGCACGAAAGCGUGGGGAGCAAACAGGAUUAGAUACCCCGGUAGUC
rnacentral:rRNA from 1 species